UACGAAGGGGGCUAGCGUUGCUCGGAAUCACUGGGCGUAAAGCGCACGUAGGCGGAUUGCUAAGUCGGGGGUGAAAUCCUGGAGCUCAACUCCAGAACUGCCUUCGAUACUGGCGAUCUUGAGUCCGGGAGAGGUGAGUGGAACUCCGAGUGUAGAGGUGAAAUUCGUAGAUAUUCGGAAGAACACCAGUGGCAAAGGCGGCUCACUGGCCCGGUACUGACGCUGAGGUGCGAAAGCGUGGGGAGCAAACAGG
rnacentral:rRNA from 1 species